CAAAAGGCCUAAUUCUGACAC
rnacentral:siRNA from 1 species